UCCCUUAGUAGGGGCGACCGAACCGGGAAGAGCUCAGCGCGAAGCCCGCGAGUUUCUGUCCUUCGGACUUGGGACUCGCCGGGGAUGCCGCGUAUGGGACGAGAUCUGGACGGCCCCAACCUCGCCUAAGUUUUUAUUGAACGUAAUCUCGCGGCCCGCAGAGGGUGUAAGGCCCGUCCGGCGAAGAGUUGGUGGAUCUGUCCGCGAUCUCGUCUCGAGAGUCGGGUUGCUUGAGAGUGCAGCCCUAAGCAGGUGGUAAACUCCAUCUAAGGCUAAAUAUGACCACGAGACCGAUAGCGCACAAGUACCGCGAGGGAAAGUUGAAAAGAACUCUGAAGAGAGAGUUAAAGAGAGCGUGAAACUACCACGAGGUUAAAGCGGAUGGACAUUCGUGGCUGAAAAGGUGGAUUCGUCUCGUCGGGCGUCCGUACCGAGGGUCGCGUUCGACCGUUUCCCGUCCCCCUACCUCUCGAGGGUGGGGAGCGACGGCGGAAGCGGCGCCGGCUCUCGGGUAACGGUCGCCGGGCGGGUGUACUUCCUCCUUAGUAGGUCGACGCGGCCGUUGCGGCGUUGCCUAUGGCCCGGAGUUUUUGGGAACCGACUCGCUGUCCCCUCGUCGGCCUUUUAGGAAGGCGGGGAUCAGGGCAGCGGGCGGGGACGCUCCGGUGUCCUGGACGGACGUCCCGCGACGGUGUUGUAAAGGCGGACCGUUCUCCGGGUCUCACGAUCCGAAGACGGCGUAACUCUUUAGUUUACGUAAUUCCGUACGCGUCGCAGAGUGUGCGAUCGUUCAUCCGUCCCGUCUUGAAACACGGACCAAGGAGUCUUGCACGUGCGCGAGUCAUAGGGUUGGCUAAACCCUCAGGCGCAACGAAAGCGAAAAAGUCGAUGGGGCGUCGCCUCGCAAGGGGCGGUCGCUCCUUCGGCGUUGGGCCGAUCCGAAAAGCCUAUUCCGUCCACCUCCUUUUGAGAUCGGGCCCUCGGUUGAGGGGGUUUACUUCCUCUUCCGGGGGGGCCGCGGGAGUGGCGGCUCGAAACAAAGAGAGGCUGCGGCGCAGGCCCGGGGCUCGUCGAUUUACCCUCCCGGCGUCCCGUCGGCCGCGGCCCUCCUUUCAACGGGAGGGUCGCGCGAUUUCGACGGAAUUAGGCGCCGGGAUGGUCGGCGGGUACCUAGAGCGUACAUGCAAGUACCCGAAAGAUGGUGAUCUAUGCCUGGCCAGGAUGAAGCCAGAGGAAACUCUGGUGGAGGUCCGUAGCGAUUCUGACGUGCAAAUCGAUCGUCGGAGUUGGGUAUAGGGGCGAAAGACCAAUCGAACCAUCUAGUAGCUGGUUCCCUCCGAAGUUUCCCUCAGGAUAGCUGGUGCUCAAUACUUUCGGGGGCGGCUAGGGUCCGGCGAGGCGGGCGCCUCCGUCGUCGUGCUUCCGUUCUUCCCCCGCGUUUGCGGUCGAUGUAGGGAGGGCGGAGUGGGGUUCGUCGCCGUUCGGUGGGAGCGCGGGGGGUUCGUCCUCUCGCGAAGAAACCGGUGCGCGCGGCGAUUUUCCACAUCGUUUCUCCCUCUCGGCAUUAAUUGCGGGGACCGGUUUUGCGCGACGGCGUUCUCGAGCGUCCCGUCUCAAAACGAAGCCACCCUUUGACGUUAAUUCGGUAAGCCCCCCCUUUACGAGUUUCAUCCUGUAAAGAUAAUGAUUAGGGGUCCUUGGGGAAGAAAUUUCCUCAGCCCAUUCUCAAACUCUAAAUGGGUGAGAAGCCGGGCUGCUCGAUGAAGCCUCGGCCUCGAAUCGAAUCGGAGUGCCUAGUGGGCCAUUUUUGGUAAGCAGAACUGGCGCUGUGGGAUGAACCAAACGCCGAGUUAAGGGGCCUAAGUAUUGGCCAAUAAAGAUCCCGUGAAAGGCGUUGGUCGCUCAGGACAGCAGGUCGGUGGCCAUGGAAGUCGGCAUCCGCCAAGGAGUGUGUAACAACUCACCUGCCGAAGCGACUAGCCCUGAAAAUGGAUGGCGCUCAAGCCAAUCCCCGAUACUCGGCCGUCGGUGGCAAUGACGGCUAACAGGGGAUGAAGGAACGGGGCUCGCUGGCGAUGCGGUUGCGAAAGAUUGGCGGGAUAAGGGAAGCCUCUAUCGGUUCCGUUUACCGGGAUCGUGUGGGUCUCCUUCCCCUCUCGUUUCUCCUUUCGCGCCGUUCUCCUUCCCCGUUCCGCCCCGCUAGUAGUCUCGAAGCCCCGACGAGUAGGAGGGCGCGACGGUGAGCGCAGAAGGUCAGGGCGUGAGCCCGACUGGAGCCGCCGUCGGUGCAGAUCUUGGUGGUAGUAGCAAGCACUCGGCUGAGAAGCAAACCUCGACCGAGGACUGAGCGGAGAAGGGUUCCUCGUCAACUGCGUUUGAACGAGGGUUAGUCGAUCCUAAGCCCCCGGCUAGCGCCCGUUGGAGGGCGCGGCCGAACGACACAAUAAAUCAACGCCUAAUAACGUCAAUAGCGAAAAUGGCGAUGAGUUGAGCAUGCGCACGUCGCACUCGGGGCGAAAGGGAAUCCGGUGAAUAUUCCGGAACCAGGCGUGGGGAACGUACUUUUUGGCGAAUUUGCUCCUGGCAUUUCCCUGAGCUCCCGGUAACGGAAGACAGAGCCGUGUCCGCUGGCGGCGGUCCGGGGAGGAGCUUGCUCUUUUCUUCAUGAGGCGUCGUGGACCCUGGAAUCAGCUCGCUGGGCGAAAGGGUUUAGACAUCCCACGAUCGCUGCCGAAGAGCGCCGCGGUUGCUGCGGCGUCCCGCGCGCCGUCGCCGGCCCUUGAAACCACGGCCGAGGGUGUGCCUUUAUAACGGGGCCUAAUCUUCGCGUGUAGCCCGUACCGAUUCCGCAUCAGUUCCGAGUGACAGGUG
rnacentral:rRNA from 1 species